GAACGAUGUGGUGACCUGUGUGAAGAUCGACGAGGUGAACUACGAGGAGAUCGACGUGGAGAACAGCGAGGAGAUCGACGUGGAGAUAGGCCUGACGAGCUGCGUCUGUAAGGUGACCUUUGCUGAGAUCUAUGUGGUGAACGGUGAUAGCUUCGCGAAGCUCUUAGGGAAUCC